GAGAUGGAUUGGUGCCUUCGGGAACUCGAACACAGGUGCUGCAUGGCUGUCGUCAGCUCGUGUCGUGAGAUGUUGGGUUAAGUCCCGCAACGAGCGCAACCCUUGUCCUUAGUUGCCAGCACGUAAUGGUGGGAACUCUAAGGAGACCGCCGGUGACAAACCGGAGGAAGGGGGGGAUGACGUCAAGUCAUCAUGGCCCUUACGGCCAGGGCUACACACUUACUACAAUGGUAGGGACAGAGGGCUGCAAGCCGGCAACGGUAAGCCAAUCCCAAAAACCCUAUCUCAUUCCGGAUUGAAGUCUGCAACUCAACUCCAUGAAGUCGGAAUC
rnacentral:rRNA from 1 species